CUCAAUGAAAUUUAUAUAGCCGCAACAUUCUUGUGCUAAGGUAGCAUAAUCAUUUGUCUUUUAAUUGAAGACUAGAACAAAAGAUUUAAUAUUUUUAUUUCUUUCUUAUAUAUAUAUAUUAUAACCUAUUUCAAAUAUUAAAAAAUAUUUAUAACUUAAAAAGACAAUAAGACCCUAUUGAACUUAACUAAAGUUAAACUGGGGUAGUUGAUUAAAUAUAAUUUUAAUCCAAUCUUUAAAAACUUCUAAUAAAAUUAAAAUAACCAAGUUACCAUAGGGAUAACAGCGUAAUAACUUUUUCAAGAUCUUAUUUAAAAAUUUGUUUACGACCUCGAUGUUGAAUUAAUAAACUAUUAAAUGUAACAAUUUAAUAAGAAAGUC
rnacentral:rRNA from 1 species